ACAGGUAGUCAGCUUUUGUCUGAAUAAGAAAAAGUUUCCCUUUCACUUUCACUCUAUUACAAAAACUUCAAAUUCGAUCUAUUUUUGCAAGGAAAAUAUAUAAUGUCACUAUUUGAAGAAAAAUGGAAGCUGAAAGGAUGAAGAAGCUUUAUAGUUCUAUGUUGGAAAUUAAUCUUUGUUUUUGUCUUUCAAAUCUGAUUUUGUGGUCUUUUAAAAGUCUGUCUUUCCCCAACUUAAAAUCGGAGCUUACAUUUUGAUUACAGUAAACCAAUAUUUGAAUAAGCAAUCAUUCGACACCUCAAGCUCUCACCAGGUGCAGAUCUUUGUAUUCGUAGAUUUCUGUCUAAUACAGGUGGUGCUUAGAGCUCCUCAAGAUGUUGCAACAGGAUGAUCAUUGAAGUCAUUUAAGUUCCUUAAGACCAAAAAAACUCUCACAAGUUCACCUGAUCUGAAGUUUGGGCAUUUGAAUUGAAGGACCCCAUGGUGGUGAGAGGACUCAAAACCUAAAAUCUCCAUACAGAGACGUUAAGCUUCUCUCUGAACAGUUGAGGCUCGCGAAAAGUUUUUAUGACUAAGGAAAGGUACAAAAAAUGACAUUACCAGUGUACUGGAGGAGGAACUCCAUAAUGUAAAAUCAACUUUCGAGCAAGCUCGAUUCAGUUUGGUGAGUGAAUGUGGCGCUGGAGCAUCUCAAGGGAUCUCUCUGACUUUAAUUCAAGAAGUUUUACCACAAUAGCAAUGGAUGCUCGGCUUCGUUAUUUCAAACA